GACGAACGCUGGCGGCGUGCCUAAUACAUGCAAGUAGGACGCAGUUGCGAACGGGUGAGUAACGCGUAGGUACCUGCCUAUUAGAGGGGGAUAACUAUUGGAAACGAUAGCUAAUACCGCAUACUAGUAGAUGGACCUGCGUUGUAUUAGCUAGUAGGUAGGGUAAUGGCCUACCUAGGCGACGAUACAUAGCCGAUCUGACAGGGAGAUCGGCCACACUAGGACUGAGACACGGCCCAGAAGCCUACGGAAGGACGCCGGAGGGAAUCUUCGGCAAUGGGGGGAACCCUGACCGAGCAAGGACGCGUGGGUGAAGAGGGUUUUCGGAUCGUAAAGCUCUGUUGUUGAGGAAGCGGUACUUAACCGGAAAGGGACGGCUAACUACGUGCCAGGAGCCGCGGUAAUAC
rnacentral:rRNA from 1 species